CAGACCCUGUUCCGCCUCCUCCCCCACGAGGCUAAUCAGUUAGAGGUGCUGAGAGGGAGAAGGGGGCCAAGCUGGGGUCUGUUCUCUCUGUGUCACCGCUGGGCCGCGUGGGUUGCCCCCUGGGGACAUUCGGCUACGUCUGGAGAUGUAUUUGAUCGUCACAGCUGGUGGAGUGGGUGCUACUGGCAACCAGUGGGUGAAGCAUGAAGAAGUUCCUGGGCCAGGGAUCAAACCUGAGCCACAGCAGUGACGACGCCUGAUCCUUAACCUGCUGCACCACUAGGGAACUCUUCAACUUGCUCUUUUCUAAAAGCAGUACAUCUUGGAAAUCUUGACAGUCAGACCCUCUAGAUCUGGGAGACCCCCUUUCCCUCCAGAGAACCAGGAGGAAGCUGAGGGGCAGAGCUGCCGGCACCUGGGACAAGGUAAGGAAGGAGUGCCUGGCAGGGUUGGGACAGCCCCUCCCUCCUUCCCCAUCCCCCUUCUCAUCAGCGUCUCGACACCCACCCUGGGAGAGCUGAGUCUCACUGCGUGUGUGAGUGGUGAGGCUGGAUGAAGAGGGUGGGUGCGUGGGCGUGUCCAGGGCUGUGCUGCUGACCCCACCUCCCCCCACUGUCCAUACUUAGAGCCAGCGGCCACGGCCAGUAUAAUUAGUUCAUAAAUCACUCCGAGUGAUAAAUAGAAUGAUAGAUGCAGGUUUCACUUGAUCACUUUUUUAUUAAGGAGAAAUAAAUCAACACCACAUUGUUGCUAUAAACCUUUCAAACGGGCCAGAUCCUGGCUGGUAGAAGCUGAUUAACAUGGCCACAUGGAGGGACUGUUUGUAGCUGAUCCCUGAGAUCAAUCAAUCCCUGUCAUUUUCCCUUGGAGGAGGGGACCGAACAGGUGCAUGCAGAGGAAGGUGGGGCUGUGUGGAUGGUGCGGCCGUGGGGGAGAGGGGGUGUGUCUUGAAUCUGUGCCAUCAAUUGGUUGAGUCUCAUGGUGGUGGUGGGGUGUCAUCUUGUCCCGUCUCUGAGUCACAGUGUCCUCUCUGCCAGAGGUGAACAGUGUUAGUUAUAACCAGUGUAGUUAGUGUAGAUAGUUGUUCUUAGCACCCGAUAGAGCAGUGGGUACCAAACUGCUCCAUCUUGGGACUCCUUUACAUACCUAAAAAUUUUGGAAGCCCUCGAAGAACUUUGGUUAGUGUGGGCAAUCUCCAUCAAUAUGGAUUGUAUUAGAAGUUAAAACAGCUAAAUAUUUAUGAAUCCCUUUUUAAUAGCAAUAACCUAUUCUGUAUCCAUGCAAAUCAUGUCUUUAACAGAAAAUAGCAAUAUUUCCAGAACAAGAAAAAGACAUGAGAAGAGUGGCAUAGUUUUACCUUUAUUUAUUUAUUUAUUUAUUUUUGUCUU